rnacentral:rRNA from 1 species
AGCAGCCGCGGUAAUUCCAGCUCCAAUAGCGUAUAUUAAAGUUGUUGCAGUUGAAAAGCUCGUAGUUGAAAUUCGAAAUUUGUCCUAUGGUCGGGCUUUACGGUCCGUACAGUAGUGGCGAAUCUCUACCUUCUGGAGAGCCUUCAUGUCAUUAAUUUGGUGAGUUGGGAAAUCAGGACUGUUACUUUGAAAAAUUAGAGUGUUUAAAGCAGGCUUAAGUCUGAAUACAUUAGCAUGGAAUAAUGAAAUAGGACGGAUUGGUUCUAUUUUGUUGGUUUCUAGGAUCACCGUAAUGAUUAAUAGGGAUAGUUGGGGGCAUUAGUAUUCAAUUGUCAGAGGUGAAAUUCUUGGAUUUAUUGAAGACUAACUUCUGCGAAAGCAUUUGCCAAGGAUGUUUUCAUUAAUCAAGAAUGAAAGUUAGGGGAUCGAAGGCGAUCAGAUACCGUCGUAGUCUUAACCAUAAACUAUGCCGACUAGGGAUCGGAUGAUGUUAAUUUUUUAAUGUACUCA